rnacentral:rRNA from 1 species
ACAAUGGAGAGUUUGAUCCUGGCUCAGGAUGAACGCUAGCGGCAGGCCUAAUACAUGCAAGUCGAACGAUACUUUCCAGCUUGCUGGGAAGGAAAGUGGCGCACGGGUGCGUAACGCGUAUGCAACCUACCUUAAUCAGGGGGAUAGCCCGAAGAAAUUCGGAUUAACACCGCAUAAAAACACAGGAUAGCAUUAUCCAAUGUUCAAAUAUUUAUAGGAUUAAGAUGGGCAUGCGUGUCAUUAGCUAGUUGGCGGGGUAACGGCCCACCAAGGCGACGAUGACUAGGGGAUCUGAGAGGAUGACCCCCCACACUGGUACUGAGACACGGACCAGACUCCUACGGGAGGCAGCAGUAAGGAAUAUUGGUCAAUGGAGGCAACUCUGAAC